UGUUUCGGCUAGGGGGCCAUCCCGGCUUACCAACCCGAUGCAAACUGCGAAUACCGGAGAAUGUUAUCACGGGAGACACACGGCGGGUGCUAACGUCCGUCGUGAAGAGGGAAACAACCCAGACCGCCAGCUAAGGUCCCAAAGUCAUGGUUAAGUGGGAAACGAUGUGGGAAGGCCCAGACAGCCAGGAUGUUGGCUUAGAAGCAGCCAUCAUUUAAAGAAAGCGUAAUAGCUCACUGGUCGAGUCGGCCUGCGCGGAAGAUGUAACGGGGCUAAACCAUGCACCGAAGCUGCGGCAGCGAACGUAUCACUUAAAGCGAUUCAGCGGGUUACGAUUGACGGAGCGAAGCGACGUCAAAGCGUAUACAAAGUCGAGUCGGUUUAAGGAUACGUUCGUUGGGUAGGGGAGCGUUCUGUAAGCCUGUGAAGGUGUGUCGUGAGGCAUGCUGGAGGUAUCAGAAGUGCGAAUGCUGACAUAAGUAACGAUAAAGCGGGUGAAAAGCCCGCUCGCCGGAAGACCAAGGGUUCCUGUCCAACGUUAAUCGGGGCAGGGUGAGUCGACCCCUAAGGCGAGGCCGAAAGGCGUAGUCGAUGGGAAACGGGUUAAUAUUCCCGUACUUGGUGUUACUGCGAAGGGGGGACGGAGAAGGCUAUGUUGGCCGGGCGACGGUUGUCCCGGUUUAAGCGUGUAGGUGUGUGUUCCAGGUAAAUCCGGUUCACUUUAACACUGAGGCGUGACGACGAGGCACUACGGUGCUGAAGCAACAAAUGCCCUGCUUCCAGGAAAAGCCUCUAAGCAUCAGGUAACAUCAAAUCGUACCCCAAACCGACACAGGUGGUCAGGUAGAGAAUACCAAGGCGCUUGAGAGAACUCGGGUGAAGGAACUAGGCAAAAUGGUGCCGUAACUUCGGGAGAAGGCACGCUGACAC
rnacentral:rRNA from 2 species